CCUUCUGUGAACCUACCUAUCGUUGCUUCGGCGGACUCGCCCCAGCCCGGACGCGGACUGGACCAGCGGCCCGCCGGGGACCUCAAACUCUUGUAUUCCAGCAUCUUCUGAAUACGCCGCAAGGCAAAACAAAUGAAUCAAAACUUUCAACAACGGAUCUCUUGGCUCUGGCAUCGAUGAAGAACGCAGCGAAACGCGAUAAGUAAUGUGAAUUGCAGAAUCCAGUGAAUCAUCGAAUCUUUGAACGCACAUUGCGCCCGCCAGCAUUCUGGCGGGCAUGCCUGUUCGAGCGUCAUUUCAACCCUCGACCUCCCCUUGGGGAGGUCGGCGUUGGGGACCGGCAGCACACCGCCGGCCCUGAAAUGGAGUGGCGGCCCGUCCGCGGCGACCUCUGCGCAGUAAUACAGCUCGCACCGGGACCCCGACGCGGCCACGCCGUAAAACACCCAACUUCUGAACGUUGACCUCGAAUCAGGUAGGACUACCCGCUGAACUUAAGCAUAUCAAUAAGCGGAGGAAAAGAAACCAACAGGGAUUGCCCCAGUAACGGCGAGUGAAGCGGCAACAGCUCAAAUUUGAAAUCUGGCUCUCAGGGCCCGAGUUGUAAUUUGUAGAGGAUGCUUUUGGCGAGGUGCCUUCCGAGUUCCCUGGAACGGGACGCCACAGAGGGUGAGAGCCCCGUAUGGUCGGACACCGAGCCUCUGUAAAGCUCCUUCGACGAGUCGAGUAGUUUGGGAAUGCUGCUCAAAAUGGGAGGUAUAUGUCUUCUAAAGCUAAAUAUUGGCCAGAGACCGAUAGCGCACAAGUAGAGUGAUCGAAAGAUGAAAAGCACUUUGAAAAGAGGGUUAAAAAGUACGUGAAAUUGUUGAAAGGGAAGCGCCUAUGACCAGACUUGCGCCCGGUGAAUCACCCAGCGUUCUCGCUGGUGCACUUUGCCGGGCACAGGCCAGCAUCAGUUCAGCGCGGGGGAGAAAGGCUUCGGGAAUGUGGCUCCCUCGGGAGUGUUAUAGCCCGCUGCGUAAUGCCCUGCGCCGGACUGAGGUACGCGCAUUGCAAGGAUGCUGGCGUAAUGGUCAUCAGCGACCCGUCUUGAAACACGGACCAAGGAGUCGUCUUCGUAUGCGAGUGUUCGGGUGUCAAACCCCUACGCGUAAUGAAAGUGAACGUAGGUGAGAGCUUCGGCGCAUCACCGACCGAUCCUGAUGUUCUCGGAUGGAUUUGAGUAAGAGCAUACGGGGCCGGACCCGAAAGAAGGUGAACUAUGCCUGUAUAGGGUGAAGCCAGAGGAAACUCUGGUGGAGGCUCGCAGCGGUUCUGACGUGCGAAUCGAUCGUCAAAUAUGGGCAUGGGGGCGAAAG
rnacentral:rRNA from 1 species